rnacentral:misc_RNA from 1 species
GAUGAAGAACGUAGCGAAAUGCGAUAAGUAAUGCGAAUUGCAGAAUUUCCGUGAGUCAUCGAAUCUUUGAACGCACAUUGCGCCCAUUGGCAUUCCGAUGGGCAUGCCUGUUCGAGCGUCAUUAUAACCCCUCAAGCUCAGCUUGGUGUUGGGGCCUGCUGCACUGGCAGCCCUUAAAAUCAGUGGCGGCGCCAUCUGGCUCUAAGCGUAGUAAUUCUUCUCGCUAUGGAGUCCUGGUGGAUGCUUGCCAUCAACCCCCAAUUUUUCUAUGGUUGACCUCGGAUCAGGUAGGGAUACCCGCUGAACUUAAGCAUAUCAAUAAGCGGAGGA